AAGGUGCUUUGCAUUGUAAACCUCUGUAGUUGGGGACAAAUAUCCGCCUACCGGCGGAUUGAUGGUACCCAAAAAGUAAGGAUCGGCUAACUACGUGC
rnacentral:rRNA from 1 species